AGCGAACGCUGGCGGCAGGCCUAACACAUGCAAGUCGAACGAACCUUUCGGGGUUCGUGGCGGACGGGUGAGUAACACGUGGGAACGUGCCUUUAGGUUCGGAAUAACUCAGGGAAACUUGUGCUAAUACCGAAUGUGCCCUUCGGGGGAAAGAUUAAUCGCCUUUAGAGCGGCCCGCGUCUGAUUAGCUAGUUGGUUGAGGUAAUGGCUCACCAAGGCGACGAUCAGUAGCUGGUCUGAGAGGAUGAUCAGCCACAUUGGGACUGAGACACGGCCCAAACUCCUACGGGAGGCAGCAGUGGGGAAUCUUGCGCAAUGGGCGAAAGCCUGACGCAGCCAUGCCGCGUGAAUGAUGAAGGUCUUAGGAUUGUAAAAUUCUUUCACCGGGGACGAUAAUGACGGUACCCGGAGAAGAAGCCCCGGCUAACUUCGUG
rnacentral:rRNA from 1 species